UCUUGAAACACGGACCAAGGAGUCUAGCAUGUGCGCGAGUCAUUGGGACCGCACUAAACCUACAGGCGUAAUGAAAGUGAAGGACGGCCUUGUGCCGUCCAAGGGGGGAUGCGUUUAUACGUUAAUAGCGUUUGCGCCGCACCCCCGGGGCGUCUCGUUCUCAUUGCGAGUUGAGGCGCACCCAGAGCGUACACGCUGGGACCCGAAAGAUGGUGAACUAUGCCUGGUCAGGACGAAGUCAGGGGAAACCCUGAUGGAGGUCCGUAGCGAUUCUGACGUGCAAAUCGAUCGUCGGAACUGGGUAUAGGGGCGAAAGACUAAUCGAACCAUCUAGUAGCUGGUUCCCUCCGAAGUUUCCCUCAGGAUAGCUGGCGCUCGCCUUUGCGAGUCUCAUCCGGUAAAGCGAAUGAUUAGAGGCAUUGGGGUCGAAACGGCCUCAACCUAUUCUCAAACUUUAAAUGGGUGAGAUCUCCGGCUUUCUUAACCAGUGAAGCCGCGAGAUCUCGGAUCAGAGUGCCAAGUGGGCCAUUUUUGGUAAGCAGAACUGGCGCUGUGGGAUGAACCAAACGUAGAGUUAAAGCGCCUAAAUCGACGCUUAUGGGAUACCAUGAAAGGCGUUGGUAACUUAAGACAGCAGGACGGUGGCCAUGGAAGUCGGAAUCCGCUAAGGAGUGUGUAA
rnacentral:rRNA from 1 species